rnacentral:rRNA from 1 species
AUUGAACGCUGGCGGAAUGCUUUACACAUGCAAGUCGAACGGCAGCACGAGGGCAACCUUGGUGGCGAGUGGCGAACGGGUGAGUAAUACAUCGGAACGUGCCCAGUCGUGGGGGAUAACGUAGCGAAAGCUACGCUAAUACCGCAUACGAUCUAUGGAUGAAAGCGGGGGACCGUAAGGCCUCGCGCGAUUGGAGCGGCCGAUGGCAGAUUAGGUAGUUGGUGGGGUAAAGGCUCACCAAGCCUGCGAUCUGUAGCUGGUCUGAGAGGACGACCAGCCACACUGGGACUGAGACACGGCCCAGACUCCUACGGGAGGCAGCAGUGGGGAAUAUUGGACAAUGGGCGAAAGCCUGAUCCAGCAAUGCCGCGUGAGUGAUGAAGGCCUUAGGGUUGUAAACUGCUUUUAUCUGGGAAUAAACCACUCUAUUUAUGGGGUGUUGAAGGUACCAGAAGAAUAAGCACCGGCUAACUCCGUGCCAGCAGCCG